GCUUACGGCCAUACCACCCUGAACACGCCCGAUCUCGUCCGAUCUCGGAGCUAAGCAGGGUCGGGCCUGGUUAGUACUGGAUGGGAGACCGCCUGGGAAUACCAGUUGCUGUAAGCU
rnacentral:rRNA from 1 species